rnacentral:rRNA from 1 species
UACGGAGGGUGCAAGCAUUGAUCGGAAUUACUGGGCGUAAAGGGCGCGUAGGCGGUUUAGAAAGUCAGAUGUGAAAUUCCGGGGCUCAACCCCGGAGCUGCAUUUGAAACUUCUAAACUAGAGUAUAGUUAGGGAAAACGGAAUUCCACGUGUAGCGGUGAAAUGCGUAGAUAUGUGGAAGAACACCGGUGGUGAAGACGGUUUUCUGGGCUAAAACUGACGCUGAGGCGCGAAAGCAAGGGGAGCAAAC